rnacentral:lncRNA from 1 species
GUUAACGAGCCCGACUAGGAUCCAUGAGGAUGCGGGUUCGACCCUGGCCCUGCUCAGUGGGUUAAGGAUCUGGCGUUGCCGUGAGUUGUGGGGUGGCUCUCAGACUCAGCUUGGAUCCUGUGUUGCUGUGGCUCUGGCGUAGGCCGCAGCUGUAGCUCUGAUUAGACCCCUAGCCUGGGAGCCUCCACAUGCCUCAGAUGCAACCCUAAAAAGCAAAAAGCCAAGAGCAACCAACCAAACAAAAGCAUCCGUCUAAAGGAGAUACACCAACAUACUCAAUCACGUACCUGACCAUGAACUUUACACUUAACCUCUUCUGUGUGUACUGCUUGCUUUCUCUGCCAUGUGGGCCUGGUCUGAUCUACCUUGCUGCCGCUUUGAAUGGGGCUAUUGCAGUGCUGCCAACCUGUGGAGCCUUUAACAACGUUCAAAGGAGGCAGCAAGUACGAUCCGGCGCUGCAGGAAAGACGCUGUGGACUCCCGAUGGCUCUACCGGCCGUCUGCCCGCAUCGCGAUCGAACGAGGAACUGGGGACCGAGCGCACCCACCGCCUCGGGCGCUCCGGCAGGGCGCGCCGCCAGCCCCCAGCCUUCGCGCCAGGACCUCAGGGCUCCCAUCGUCGUGGUGUUGGUGCUGUGGGUCACAGCUGCCUCAGGCAUGCCCACAGGGCAGGGACGAUUUCACCAGCAAAUCGCUGCCCCAGAGGCAGGGAGUCGCGGCCGCUGGGAGUCGUGUCCACCAGGGUUCCAUGUGGAGGAAGCCAGUGGAGAGUGUGUCCGGUGCACAGACGGAGUGGAUUACACCAGUCAUCCAAACACCCUCUUUUCUUGCUUACGCUGCACGGUUUGCAAAUCAGGUACAGGACCCGUGGUCCCCCGAGCCUUCAGUGAGGGUGCUGGGUGAUGAUGAGAUGGGAUGCGAAUGGGUCAGGGAGGCAGAAACCCGAUUUCCAGCCCAGCUAGGUCUGCCUCCCAUCCUCCCUUCCUCC